rnacentral:rRNA from 1 species
UGCCAGCAGCCGCGGUAAUACGGAGGGGGUUAGCGUUGUUCGGAAUUACUGGGCGUAAAGCGCACGUAGGCGGAUCAAAAAGUUAGAUGUGAAAUCCCUGGGCUCAACCCAGGAACUGCAUUUAAAACUAGUGAUCUAGAAUUUGGUAGGGGUUAGUAGAAUUUCCAGUGUAGAGGUGAAAUUCGUAGAUAUUGGAAAGAAAACCAGUGGCGAAGGCGACUAACUGGGCCAUUUUUGACGCUGAGAUACGAAAGCGUGGGUAGCAAACAGGAUUAGAUA